rnacentral:rRNA from 1 species
ACAGCAGUAGCCGCGGUAAUACGUAGGGUGCAAGCGUUAAUCGGAAUUACUGGGCGUAAAGCGUGCGCAGGCGGUUAUAUAAGUCAGAUGUGAAAUCCCCGGGCUCAACCUGGGAACUGCAUUUGAGACUGUAUGGCUAGAGUGUGUCAGAGGGGGGUAGAAUUCCACGUGUAGCAGUGAAAUGCGUAGAUAUGUGGAGGAAUACCGAUGGCGAAGGCAGCCCCCUGGGAUAACACUGACGCUCAUGCACGAAGGCGUGGGGGGCAAACAGGAUUAGAUACCCGGGUAGUCCCUGUCUCUUAUAC